AGGGUUCGAUUAUGGCUCAGGAUGAACGCUGGCGGCGUGCUUAACACAUGCAAGUCGAACGGGAUCCCAGGAGCUUGCUCCUGGGUGAGAGUGGCGAACGGGUGAGUAAUGCGUGACCGACCUGCCCCAUACACCGGAAUAGCUCCUGGAAACGGGUGGUAAUGCCGGAUGCUCCGACAUGACGCAUGUCGUGUCGGGAAAGAUUCUAUCGGUAUGGGAUGGGGUCGCGUCCUAUCAGCUUGAUGGCGGGGUAACGGCCCACCAUGGCUUCGACGGGUAGCCGGCCUGAGAGGGCGACCGGCCACAUUGGGACUGAGAUACGGCCCAG
rnacentral:rRNA from 1 species